rnacentral:rRNA from 1 species
UGCCAGCAGCCGCGGUAAUACGGAGGGUCCAAGCGUUAUCCGGAUUUAUUGGGUUUAAAGGGUCCGUAGGCGGGUUAUUAAGUCAGUGGUGAAAUCCUACAGCUCAACUGUAGAACUGCCAUUGAAACUGGUAACCUUGAGUAUAAUUGAAGUGGGCGGAAUGUGUCAUGUAGCGGUGAAAUGCUUAGAUAUGACACAGAACACCGAUUGCGAAGGCAGCUCACUAAGUUAUAACUGACGCUGAGGGACGAAAGCGUGGGUAGCGAACAGGAUUAGAUA